UAUAGGAAGGAAGCAAAAGCCAUGUCGUUAGACUUGAGCUGACAGCUUUAAAGAAACUGACAAGCAGUUAGGUAGUCUUAGUAUAGAUCUCUCUGUAUUCUCCUGAAAAACAUCUUUUCCUAAAAAUGUUAUAAAUUAUGCUUAAAGUUAGUUUCAGCCUAAUAUAUUGGCUAAGAAUUUAUCAGUAUUUGAAAGUGAAACAUAAUGAAGUUUAAAUAGUUAUAAGAUACAUAAAUAAGUAUUCCAGAGUAUUCCAUAAAAUUUUAUCAAUAUUCUCUUCAAUAUUAGAAGACUCACUGAUUGAGACCAUCUGUAAAAUGACCACAUGCUGUCUCAGAAUCUUUCCAGCUCUAAUAUUCUGUGACUGAUACUCGUGCAGAAUUGCUCGGUCACUGCUGGCUCUGGCCUGCUUCCUGGAGUACGCCAGCUUACAUCCCCGUCGUGGUCAUUGCAGUGUCCCGUGCUCAGUGCCUUAGCACUGUCCUUGUCCUUGGACGCUGAAUGGAGAGAGAAGAGGGUGUUUGAGUAAUCUUGGCAGAAUGAGGUGGACUUCAGUCACAGCCCCACAGACCUGUUUCAUAGUUGGCACCUGUCAUCCGUGCCAGGUCCUUGCAGCCAAGAGGACUAAUGUAUUUUAAUAAAGUCUGUGUUACUUGUUCUCAAGAAAGAACUUACCUGAAAGGAUGACCUUUUUUUGAUACAUUUAGUCAGGGUUGGGGAGGGAGUGGUGAAUUAUUUUCUUUUUGUUUACAUUUUUAAUAAAGUAGAUUUCAGAACUAAUCUUUAUUUGUGGUAUUUAACUUUAAGUGUAAUAUAUUACCUAGAAAAAACAAAGCUUUAAUAAAAAUGGAAACU
rnacentral:lncRNA from 1 species